rnacentral:rRNA from 1 species
GACGAACGCUGGCGGCGUGCCUAAUACAUGCAAGUAGAACGCACAGUUUAUACCGUAGCUUGCUCCACCAUAAACUGUGAGUUGCGAACGGGUGAGUAACGCGUAGGUAACCUGCCUGGUAGCGGGGGAUAACUAUUGGAAACGAUAGCUAAUACCGCAUAAUAUUAAUUAUUGCAUGAUAAUUGAUUGAAAGAUGCAAUUGCAUCACUACCAGAUGGACCUGCGUUGUAUUAGCUAGUAGGUGAGGUAACGGCUCACCUAGGCGACGAUACAUAGCCGACCUGAGAGGGUGAUCGGCCACACUGGGACUGAGACACGGCCCAGACUCCUACGGGAGGCAGCAGUAGGGAAUCUUCGGCAAUGGACGAAAGUCUGACCGAGCAACGCCGCGUGAGUGAAGAAGGUUGUCGGAUCGUAAAGCUCUGUUGUAAGAGAAGAACGGGUGUGAGAGUGGAAAGUUCACACUGUGACGGUAUCUUACCAGAAAGGGACGGCUAACUACGUG